rnacentral:rRNA from 1 species
UACGGAGGGGGCCAGCGUUGUUCGGAAUCAUUGGGCGUAAAGGGCGCCUAGGUGGCGCAGCAAGUCGGACGUGAAAGCCCUCGGCUCAACCGGGGAAUUGCAUCCGAAACUGCUGCGCUUGAGUCCUGGAGAGGGUAGCGGAAUUCCCAGUGUAGCGGUGAAAUGCGUAGAUACUGGGAGGAACACCGGUGGCGAAGGCGGCUACCUGGACAGGUACUGACACUGACGCGCGAAAGCGUGGGGAGCAAACAGG